rnacentral:lncRNA from 1 species
AUAAUGAACUUAAUAUUUGGACAUGUGACCAGGUACAAAUGGAGGAAGCCAGAAUUGUGGUGACUUUGUAGUGCUAUUAUUACUCUCCCUCCAUGGCCUGGGACACAGUUUAGAAGGUGAAGCAGGCAAUCAGUAGGCACUGAAGUUAAUCUUUUCCUUUUUCUAGUCCAGGCUACUGAUAGCCUAUAAACCUUAAUCUCAAAUGUGACAUCGACUAAACACAUACCAUGCUCCUAUGAGAAGGAAUAAAUCUGUUUGGAAAGUAAAAUAUACUCUUUGGAGAAUAUAUUAAUAGGAGUGCUAUUUUUUCUCUACAGGGAAUGAAAGGUUUCUGAAAUUCUCUACCUAGGAGGAGUUAGAGGAAGACUUUCUGGCUAAGUAGAAGAAGCACACCCACUAAGAGAGAACCCAGUGCAGUGACCAGCACAGCUUGUGGAACCUGACACCCUUGACUCCUGGGAACGUGGAAGGAGUUGCUGCUCUAUGAAUUCCAUCAUUUUCUCAGGGUGUCUGUCUUUUUCUCCUAACUGCCUGCUUCUACUUAGAAAAUUCAAGCCUUCAGAUGCUGUUGCACUUAUCACUUUGCUCAAGCUUCUCCAAAGCUCCCCACUAUCAAAGGACUUAAACUUCAAGCUUCCUUCUUUCCUUGUCUACUCUUCCUUCACUGUAGGAUGUCUCCCUCACCCCCUGAAAAUCCCCUCUAUACAUCCUGUCAUCUCUGUUAUUAUUUAUAUCUCUGUUAUUAUUUAUAUCCUGAUUCUGCCCUGAGUGACCCUAAAAAUCCAAAGACUCCCAUAUGUAAAAAUAUCCUUCAGAGUUGAGCAAAGAUCAGCACCUGAAAGAGAAAUUUUGGUGACAAAGGGACUAUUAAAAUGGUCCAUCAGACAAAUUCUUUAAAAAUAUGAAUAUCGGGGCGCCUGGGUGGCGCAGUCGGUUAGCGUCCGAUUUCAGCCAGGUCACGAUCUCGCGGUCUUGAGUUCGAGCCCCGCGUCAGGCUCUGGGCUGAUGGCUCAGAGCCUGGAGCCUGUUUCCGAUUCUGUGUCUCCCUCUCUCUCUGCCCCUCCCCCGUUCAUGCUCUGUCUCUCUCUGUCCCAAAAAUAAAUAAAAACGCUGAAAAAAAAAUUUAAAAAUA